GGUAGGCACAUCCAUCCCAAAAGCCUGGAGCCACAUCUGGGAAGCCUGUCUUGGCAGACUGGAUUUCAGUGCAGUAUAUCAGUACAGACCGAUUUUUGGCUGCGAUUUGCAACAAUUAACUAACAUUGCCCUCUUAGCUGAUAACACCUGCAAGGAUCAUAGUUUGAAGAAAAAAGUUUUCUCAGGACUUUCUUUAUCAAGAAGGAUGGUCCUGGCUGACCAUCAUCUGGGGGAAGCCCUCUGAUAGUUACACAGUAAGGAUAAAUAAGAUUUAAUGCUUAAUUCAAUAGAAUUUAAGAUCACUUUGUAAGAGGCAGGAUGAGUUUGCCUGCUCCUGAGAUAGGGAGGAGAUAACCAGCUGCUGGUCAUGUAGGUGAAGGGGAUAUGAUCAGGAGUGAGCAGCUGUUUCUGAUUUAUUCAGUAAGAAGAUGUCCUUGAUGCCAAGCACACGAGACUAAGCUCAGUUUCUUGUGCCUAAGGUUGGCCUGGAAGGUUUUCACAGUCUCGUUUCCCUCUUGCUGCUCCUUACUUUCUGGCACAGGAGGGCUGGGAUGCUGCUGGGCUCUGUCAUUGCCUGUUUGCUGACCUGCUGAAAGGUCUUGGACAGGGUUUUUCUGACCUUGGAGGAUGUGAAAGGCCAAUAAAAUGUGGUUGUGUGAGAUGUGUUCCAUCUUCCUGGGGAGCAGAAAAUGCAUCUGAAGGAGGUAGAACCCAGCAAGUUUCUGACCUGUCUGCACUGCAAACAUUUAGGUCUCUUUCAAGGUGGAAAGUAUACUGAUUCUUUUCUUC
rnacentral:lncRNA from 1 species